rnacentral:rRNA from 1 species
CCUACGGGCGGCUGCAGUGGGGAAUAUUGGACAAUGGGCGAAAGCCUGAUCCAGCCAUGCCGCGUGUGUGAAGAAGGCCUUCGGGUUGUAAAGCACUUUCAGUGGGGAAGAAAGCCUUGGGUCUAAUACCCUCGAGGAAGGACAUCACCCACAGAAGAAGCACCGGCUAACUCCGUGCCAGCAGCCGCGGUAAUACGGAGGGUGCGAGCGUUAAUCGGAAUUACUGGGCGUAAAGCGCGCGUAGGCGGUCUGAUAAGCCGGUUGUGAAAGCCCCGGGCUCAACCUGGGAACGGCAUCCGGAACUGUCAGGCUAGAGUGCAGGAGAGGAAGGUAGAAUUCCCGGUGUAGCGGUGAAAUGCGUAGAGAUCGGGAGGAAUACCAGUGGCGAAGGCGGCCUUCUGGACUGACACUGACGCUGAGGUGCGAAAGCGUGGGUAGCAAACAGGAUUAGAUACCCGAGUAGUC